AGAGGGGAACAAUCUACGCCCCUCACCCCUUCUUCCCUUCACUCAUGGCACUGCAUGGCACGCCGGCCAGUAGCAGGCAGGAGAGAGAGCCACACACCGCCUCUACCAUCUCGUGAGUUUUGAUAUAACUGUGAGGCGUCUUUCCCUUGCCAAGACGUUCCUUAAUUGUCGUGUUAGUGAAAAAUUGUGUGAGACGAGUGACCUUCGCUUCCAGAAACUUGUAUGUGAAGUAAAAUCUGUGAAACCAGCAAUCACCAGCAGCAGCAGUCUCCUUUAAAGCUCAAGGGAUGAUCCGGGAUGUGUGUGUGCGUCUUACAGCAUCGGUGGAGGAAUUUCUUGAUGCGGCCAUGAUAACGGAGACAGUCACAGAGCCGCCGCCAACACAGCUAAAACCUCACUCAAGAACACGGUGGUGAGUGGGGUGGCAGCGGUCGGGGCGCCAUCAGCCAUGCAGGUCCGGGGUGGGAGUGACUGCUCGUCCAGGAGGGAGGGACAAGGGAGGAAAGGGAGACGCUGGAGGGAGAGAAACGAGCUGUGUCCAAGAUCCCGCGGCUCCCUUCCUGCACUUGACUGUCACUGAAAGAGAUUGUUCUGCGCCCUCCAGCUCACCCUGACACUUACAAAACGACCCAGUCACCAAGUCGUGGCCGCCGAGCUCUUUAGUAUCCAGUAGAUGUAAAGAAGAGACUCCGUGUUCUUUUGCUGCACUCCAUGAGAGCAACUAAAGGACGUCACCACGAACUGUGUAGCUUCCAGUAAGGAGGAAGAAGGUUCCUCAGUGUUUCUCUUCUUGGCAGCCUCUCAUACAUGGAUACAAAUGAGUUUCCCAGCUCUUGAAAAGCUGAACUACAGGGUCACGCGGGAAGAUGCCACGAUGUUCUCCAAAAAGCUGGCUGAAGGAGCCAAAGGAGAAUGACAACUACACUGCUUAACAACUCAAUGUUAACCGUUGGAACUGAAGGCGUGAGUUGGAGCAAUCAUAUAGGAACAAACACAGGGCUAGACAUGUUGUGUGCUCUUAAUAACGAAUAGCACUGUAGUAGACUAGGUACGUAUUGGUUUUCUUUGAGUGACUUACAGCAGGUUUUGUAAGAGAAGGGAGUAGGUACUGUCAUCUCAUUCACCUGUAUGAGGUAUAAGGCCAGAAUUCGACAAGUAAUCGUGUUUUCUAUGUAUUUAUAAAGGUAUGAAGUGGUUUAAAAAUUACAUUAGCCGCCUCUUUAUAAACUGUAAUAGAUUGUGUAGAGGUAAACUGUUACACGUAGUUAGUUUCUAAGUAUUUUUAUUUUCUGGUGAUCUGAAGGUUUAAGUGUGCUAGACGGAUAUUUUACGUUAUUGAGCCUGCUAUGAGCUAUAAAAUAGACAAUGAUAUAUGUCAAGCUUUCUCCAAACUGUAUAUUCUUACGCACGAUGAAUAUCGGUUAUCCUUACUAUUGCCAAUCAUGAGAACUAUGUCCUACGUGAGUCACCAGCAUUGUUGUAACGUUAAGGUAAAUUUACUCGUGUUUAAGGGGAAAAUGCAGAGACCAGCUGGGUUUCCUGUCAUAGUAUUACGUGGACGAAAGCUUAUUGGUACAUUAUAAGUCUUCCUAGCAAUGAUAAGCUUUCAUCCUUAGCUAUACCAUUGUUUUUUACGGUUGUUCAACUCAGGAAACUAUCAUUGACAGCUAUAUAAUACUAAGGAACAGAUUUCAAUAUUAUUUUAGCAUUCAGUAUCCGAUGCUUAGUUUUAUGGUACCUUUGUACUUGGUUAUAUGAUUAUAAUAUGUAUUCUUUCGCAAUUAUACGUGUCCAGACG